rnacentral:rRNA from 1 species
GACGAACGCUGGCGGCGUGCUUAACACAUGCAAGUCGAACGCUGAAGCUUGGUGCUUGCGCUGGGUGGAUGAGUGGCGAACGGGUGAGUAAUACGUGAGUAACCUGCCCUUGACUCUGGGAUAAGCCUGGGAAACUGGUUCUAAUACUGGAUACGACAUGUCACCGCAUGGUGGUGUGUGGAAAGGGUUUUACUGGUUUUGGAUGGGCUCACGGCCUAUCAGCUUGUUGGUGGGGUAAUGGCUCACCAAGGCGACGACGGGUAGCCGGCCUGAGAGGGUGACCGGCCACACUGGGACUGAGACACGGCCCAGACUCCUACGGGAGGCAGCAGUGGGGAAUAUUGCACAAUGGGCGGAAGCCUGAUGCAGCGACGCCGCGUGAGGGAUGACGGCCUUCGGGUUGUAAACCUCUUUCAGCACGGAAGAAGCGAAAGUGACGGUACGUGCAGAAGAAGCGCCGGCUAACUACGUG